rnacentral:rRNA from 1 species
GGAAUAUUGGACAAUGGGCGCAAGCCUGAUCCAGCCAUGCCGCGUGUGUGAAGAAGGCCUUCGGGUUGUAAAGCACUUUUGUACGGGAAGAAAAGCGCCGGCUUAAUACGUUGGCGUCAUGACGGUACCCGCAGAAUAAGCCCCGGCUAACUUCGUGCCAGCAGCCGCGGUAAGACGAAGGGGGCUAGCGUUGUUCGGAAUUACUGGGCGUAAAGCGAGUGUAGGUGGUUGUCAUAGUCAGGUGUGAAAGCCUUGAGCUCAACUCAAGAAAUGCACUUGAUACUGGGCGACUAGAGGACCGGAGAGGAUAGUGGAAUUCCCAGUGUAGUGGUGAAAUACGUAGAGAUUGGGAAGAACACCAGUGGCGAAGGCGGCUAUCUGGACGGUUUCUGACACUAAGACUCGAAAGCGUGGGGAGCAAA